rnacentral:rRNA from 1 species
UACGUAGGGGGCAAGCGUUGUCCGGAAUCAUUGGGCGUAAAGCGCGUGUAGGCGGUUCGGUAAGUCCGCUGUGAAAGUCGGGGGCUCAACCCUCGGAUGCCGGUGGAUACUGUCGAGCUUGAGUACGGAAGAGGCGAGUGGAAUUCCUGGUGUAGCGGUGAAAUGCGCAGAUAUCAGGAGGAACACCAAUUGCGAAGGCAGCCCCCUGGGCUAAGAUUGACGCUCAGGCACGAAAGCGUGGGGAGCAAACAGG